rnacentral:rRNA from 1 species
AACAAAACGCUGGCGGCGUGUCUUAAGCAUGCAAGUUGAGCGGCAAGGAGGAGAGAUCCUCCCUAGAGCGGCGGACUGGUGAGUAACGCGUGGGUAAUCUAUCGUAGGCAUGGGGGAUAGUCACUAGAAAUAGUGGGUAAUACCGAAUACGUUCCAUGAGGGGAGUAUUCAUGGAAGAAAGGGUGCUACGGCACUGGCCUUAGGUGAGCUCGCGUCCCAUUAGCUAGUUGGUGAGGUAAAGGCCCACCAAGGCGAUGAUGGGUAGCCGGCCUGAGAGGGUGUACGGCCACACUGGGACUGAGAUACGGCCCAGACUCCUACGGGAGGCAGCAGCUAAGAAUAUUCCGCAAUGGACGAAAGUCUGACGGAGCGACGCCGCGUGGAUGAAGAAGGCCGAAAGGUUGUAAAGUUCUUUUAUAUGUGAGCAGUGACGCCCAUAUUAAUAGUAUGGGUGUAGAGAUAUUAGCAUAUGAAUAAGCAACGGCUAACUCCG